rnacentral:rRNA from 1 species
GAGGAGUGGCGGACGGGUGAGUAACACGUGGGUAACCUACCCAUCAGAGGGGGAUAACACUUGGAAACAGGUGCUAAUACCGCAUAACAGUUUAUGCCGCAUGGCAUAAGAGUGAAAGGCGCUUUCGGGUGUCGCUGAUGGAUGGACCCGCGGUGCAUUAGCUAGUUGGUGAGGUAACGGCUCACCAAGGCCACGAUGCAUAGCCGACCUGAGAGGGUGAUCGGCCACACUGGGACUGAGACACGGCCCAGACUCCUACGGGAGGCAGCAGUAGGGAAUCUUCGGCAAUGGACGAAAGUCUGACCGAGCAACGCCGCGUGAGUGAAGAAGGUUUUCGGAUCGUAAAACUCUGUUGUUAGAGAAGAACAAGGACGUUAGUAACUGAACGUCCCCUGACGGUAUCUAACCAGAAAGCCACGGCUAACUACGUGCCAGCAGCCGCGGUAAUACGUAGGUGGCAAGCGUUGU